rnacentral:rRNA from 1 species
UACGUAGGGUGCAAGCGUUGUCCGGAAUUAUUGGGCGUAAAGGGAGCGUAGGCGGUUUUGUAAGUCGUGUGUGAAAUCUUCGGGCUCAACCCGAAGCCUGCACACGAAACUGCAGGGCUUGAGUAUGGGAGAGGUGAGUGGAAUUCCUGGUGUAGCGGUGAAAUGCGUAGAUAUCAGGAGGAACACCUGUGGCGAAAGCGGCUCACUGGACCAUUACUGACGCUGAGGCUCGAAAGCUAGGGGAGCAAACAGG